AUUGAACGCUGGCGGCAGGCCUAACACAUGCAAGUCGAGCGAGCGGCGGACGGGUGAGUAAUGUAUGGGAAACUGCCUGAUGGAGGGGGAUAACUACUGGAAACGGUAGCUAAUACCGCAUACCAUCAGAUGUGCCCAAAUGGGAUUAGCUAGUAGGUGGGGUAAAGGCUCACCUAGGCGACGAUCCCUAGCUGGUCUGAGAGGAUGACCAGCCACACUGGAACUGAGACACGGUCCAGACUCCUACGUGAGGCAGCAGUGGGGAAUAUUGCACAAUGGGCGCAAGCCUGAUGCAGCCAUGGCGCGUGUGUGAAGAAGGCCUGCGGGUUGUAAAGCACUUUCAGCGGGGAGGCGUUACCCGCAGAAGAAGCACCGGCUAACUCCGUGCCAGCAGCCGCGGUAAGUC
rnacentral:rRNA from 1 species